GGCCAUAUCAUGUUGAAACAUGUUCUCGCAUGAUCACCAAAGUUAAGCAACAUUGAGCCUGGUUAGUACCUAGAUGGGUGACUGGCUGGGAAUGUCAGGUGCUGUAAG